rnacentral:sRNA from 1 species
GGCAAUUUUUGGGAGGCCGUUAACGCCUAC